rnacentral:lncRNA from 10 species
GGAGCUUGGUGCGGAGGGCAGUGCUUCCUAUGAGAAAAAGUCCAGUGGUCAAUCUUUUGGGAAGGAGCUGGUGGGAUGAGGGGGCAGCUGGACUGACCUGAGUGCUGUUGUACUGUCUGACCAUCUCCUUUGUAAACAGACGCUCCACACUCAUGCUCAGAGCAGCAUUAUUCACAGCAGCCAGGAGGGGGACGUCGCCCAGGUGUUCCUCGGUGGAUGAAUGGAUAAAGAAAAUGUAAACACACAGUGGAAUCUUACUCAGCCUUGAAAAGGAAGGAAAGUCCAUCCAACACAUGCUACUGCAUGGACGAACUUUGGACAGUGAGCUAAGUGAAAGGAGACAGUCACAAAAGGACAAAUACCAGAUGAUCCCACCUGCGCGAGAUGAUAUACGAUCUUUCCAGAUGCACUGUUCGUUUACGGCGGCAAGAGAGCUCAAUUAAUUUCUGAGGGAGGACGGCAGGAUGCGACCCCUUGUGCGUGGCCUAGGAGGAACUGUCCCUGUGUGAAUUUAUGUUCUGGUAAUUUAAAAAGAUUUAUAUUAAGCUUUUCUUUCAUUUUGAGAGUAGAUUAAAA